AUUUGUGAGCGUUCAGAUUGCAAGGCAGAGUCCUGUUGCUAUGGCUACAGUUAGUGAAUAUAUUAAUUAUCAAUAACCUGGUCAAUUAUUUAUGAUUAGUUAAUCAUUACAAGUAAUGAAGAUGUUUUAACAACCAAUUUAAACAAAU